rnacentral:rRNA from 1 species
AUAUAGGUCAAGCUACAAAGGGCGCAUGGUGAAUGCCUUGGCAUCAGGAGCCGAUGAAGGACGUGAUAAGCUGCGAUAAGCUUCGGGUAGGCGCACAUAGCCUGAGAUCCGAAGAUCUCCGAAUGAGGAAACUCACAUGGGAAACCCCAUGUAUCAUUAAGUGAAUACAUAGCUUAAUGAAGGUAACCCAGGGAACUGAAACAUCUAAGUACCUGGAGGAAGAGAAAGAAAAAUCGAUUUUCUUAGUAGCGGCGAGCGAAAGGGAAAGAGCCCAAACCGGAAACUUGUUUCCGGGGUUGUGGACAUAACAUAAAAGUGGAGGCUAUUGUAACUGAAGAGAACUGGAAAGUUCUACCGUAGAAGGUAAUAGUCCUGUAAGUGAAACGAGAAGACCACGAGUUAUGAUCCAGAGUACCACGAGACACGUGAAACCUUGUGGGAAGCAGGGAGGACCACCUCCCAAGGCUAAAUACUACCUGAUGACCGAUAGUGAAGCAGUACCGUGAGGGAAAGGUGAAAAAGAACCCCGGGAGGGGAGUGAAAUAGAACCUGAAACCGUGUGCCUACAACCGCUCAGAGCCCCUUAUGAGGGUGAUGAGGUGCUUUUUGUAGAACGAGCCAACGAGUUACGGUAUGUAGCAAGGUUAAGUACUUAAGGUACGGAGCCGAAGGGAAACCGAGUCUGAAUAGGGCGACUAGUUGCAUGCCGUAGACCCGAAACCGGGUGACCUAUCCAUGGCCAGGUUGAAGCGAGGGUAAAACCUCGUGGAGGACCGAACCACGUUGCUGUUGAAAAAGCAUGGGAUGAGCUGUGGAUAGCGGAGAAAUUCCAAUCGAACCCGGAGAUAGCUGGUUCUCUCCGAAAUAGCUUUAGGGCUAGCGUCGAGUAUGAGUAGUGGAGGUAGAGCACUGAAUGGGCUGGGGGGGGCAUAGCGCUUACCGAACCUUAUCAAACUCCGAAUGCCACAUACUUUGAGCUCGGCAGUCAGACUACGAAUGAUAAGAUCCGUGGUCAAAAGGGAAACAGCCCAGAUCGUCAGCUAAGGUCCCAAAGUGUAAGUUAAGUGGGAAAGGAUGUGAGAUUUCUAAGACAACUAGGAUGUUGGCUUAGAAGCAGCCAUUCAUUAAAAAGAGUGCGUAAUAGCUCACUAGUCGAGAGAUCUUGCGCCGAAAAUGUAACGGGGCUAAACUUACCACCGAAGCUACGGGCUUGAACUUAGUUCAAGCGGUAGGAGAGCGUCGUAACCGGGCUGAAGUCGUACCGUAAGGAGCGGUGGACUGGUUACGAGUGAGAAUGUUGGCAUCAGUAGCGAGAUGUGGGUGAGAAUCCCACAGGCCGAAAACCUAAGGUUUCCUCAGGAAGGUUCGUCCGCUGAGGGUUAGUCGGGACCUAAGCCGAGGCCGAAAGGCGUAGGUGAUGGACAACUGGUUGAUAUUCCAGUACCACUACCAUCGUUAUUAUCGAUGGCGUGACGCAGGAGGAUAGUGUGUGCUAGCUAUUGGAUGCUAGUCUAAGCGUUUAGGCAGUGAGAGUAGGCAAAUCCGCUCUCAUAAUGCUGAGGCGUGAUGGGGAAGGUUCUACGGAACCGAAGUACAUGAUUCCACGCUGCCAAGAAAAGCGUCUAGAGAGAGAAGUAGUGCCCGUACCGCAAACCGACACAGGUAGGUGAGGAGAGAAUCCUAAGGCCGGCGGAAGAAUUACAGUUAAGGAACUCGGCAAAUUGACCCCGUAAGUUCGCGAGAAGGGGUGCCUACGAGAGUAGGCCGCAGAGAAUAGGCCCAAGCAACUGUUUAGCAAAAACACAGGUCUCUGCUAAAGCGUAAGCUGAUGUAUAGGGGCUGACGCCUGCCCGGUGCUGGAAGGUUAAGGGAACACUUAGCGCAAGCGAAGGUGUGAACUUAAGCCCCAGUAAACGGCGGCCGUAACUAUAACGGUCCUAAGGUAGCGAAAUUCCUUGUCAGGUAAGUUCUGACCCGCACGAAUGGCGUAAUGACUUGGGCACUGUCUCAACUGUAAAUCCGGCGAAGUUGUAGUGCGAGUGAAGAUGCUCGCUACCCGCGAUUGGACGGAAAGACCCCGUAGAGCUUUACUGUAGCUUAGCAUUGAGUUUUGGUAUUGUCUGUACAGGAUAGGUGGGAGACUAGGAAACCAGGGCGUCAGCCUUGGUGGAGUCAACCUUGGGAUACCACCCUGACAGUACUGAAAUUCUAACUGGCGGCCAUGAAUCUGGUCACAGGACAUUGUUAGGUGGGCAGUUUGACUGGGGCGGUCGCCUCCUAAAAAGUAACGGAGGCGCCCAAAGGUUCCCUCAGAACGGUCGGAAAUCGUUCGAAGAGUGCAAAGGCAGAAGGGAGCCUGACUGCGACACCCACAAGUGGAGCAGGGACGAAAGUCGGGCUUAGUGAUCCGGUGGUACCUCGUGGGAGGGCCAUCGCUCAACGGAUAAAAGCUACCUCGGGGAUAACAGGCUGAUCUCCCCAAGAGUCCACAUCGACGGGGAGGUUUGGCACCUCGAUGUCGGCUCGUCGCAUCCUGGGGCUGAAGUAGGUCCCAAGGGUUGGGCUGUUCGCCCAUUAAAGCGGCACGCGAGCUGGGUUCAGAACGUCGUGAGACAGUUCGGUCCCUAUCCGUCGCGGGCGUAGGAAAUUUGAGAGGAGCUGUCCUUAGUACGAGAGGACCGGGAUGGACUGACCUCUGGUGUACCAGUUGUUCCGCCAGGAGCACAGCUGGGUAGCUAAGUCGGGAAUGGAUAAACGCUGAAAGCAUCUAAGCGUGAAGCCAACCUCAAGAUGAGAUUUCCCAUAGCAUAAGCUAGUAAGAUCCCUUGAAGAACACAAGGUUGAUAGGUCGGGGGUGUAAGCAUGGUAACAUGUUCAGCUGACCGAUACUAAUAGAUCGAGGGCUUGACCAAAU